rnacentral:misc_RNA from 1 species
UCACCCCUCAAGCCUAGCUUGGUGUUGGACGGCUUGGUGGCGGCUGAAAAGCUGCGACCCCUCCUAAAGUCAAUGACGGCGGCCUGUUGAACCCCCGGUACACUGAGCUCCUUCACAGGGCACGUAUCGGUCUAAAAGGUAACGGGAUGUCGGUCUUCUCUUCCAUUUGGGAGAAACACUUUCAG